rnacentral:misc_RNA from 1 species
GAUGAAGAGCAGCGAAAUGCGAUAAGUAGUGUGAAUUGCAGAAUUCAGUGAAUCAUCGAAUCUUUGAACGCACAUUGCGCCCUUUGGUAUUCCAAAGGGCAUGCCUGUUCGAGCGUCAUUUGUACCCUCAAGCUUUGCUUGGUGUUGGGCGUCUUGUCUCUAGCUUUGCUGGAGACUCGCCUUAAAGUAAUUGGCAGCCGGCCUACUGGUUUCGGAGCGCAGCACAAGUCGCACUCUCUAUCAGCAAAGGUCUAGCAUCCAUUAAGCCUUUUUUUCAACUUUUGACCUCGGAUCAGGUAGGGAUACCCGCUGAACUUAAGCAUAUCAAUAAGCGGAGGA